UAGGGAAUCUUCCGCAAUGGACGCAAGUCUUAAGGAGCAACGCCGCGUGAGUGAAGAAGGAUUUCGGUUCGUAAAACUCUGUUGUUAGAGAAGAACAGCGCAUAGAGUAACUGUUAUGCGUGUGACGGUAUCUAACCAGAAAGCCACGGCUAACUACGUGCCAGCAGCCGCGGUAAUACGUAGGUGGCAAGCGUUGUCCGGAUUUAUUGGGCGUAAAGCGAGCGCAGGCGGUCAAUUAAGUCUGAUGUGAAAGCCCCCGGCUCAACCGGGGAGGGUCAUUGGAAACUGGUUGACUGGAGUGCAGAAGAGGAGAGUGGAAUUCCAGGUGUAGCGGUGAAAUGCGUAGAUAUAUGGAGGAACACCAGUGGCGAAGGCGACUCUCUGGUCUGUAACUGACGCUGAGGCUCGAAAGCGUGGGUAGCAAACAGG
rnacentral:rRNA from 1 species